GACAGACAUUGCAGAUGAUAUGUCCACAGGAGGUGACAGCCAGUUUUCUGUCAGCACUGGGGCAAAGGAAGCAGGAGUUGCAGCAGGUCCAGUAAGACAUUUGAAAACCUGCAACAAAAAAAUAAAAUGAGGUCUCACCAGUCUUUCUCCAGCAAAUACAGAAAACUUUGUGGAGUUGGUCUGGAAGCAAAGGUAGUGCUGACCAGAGGCGUGCGAUGUGAAGUACCUCAUGGUUUGGGUCUCUGACUGUCACAGUGACGCCGAGGGUGAGGGGAGUGGGAGAGGGCAUUCAUCUCCCACGGCUCCAACAAGAAAUACCCUGAAGGACUCACCGGUGACGAGCAUGUCUUCAGGAAUCUCCUCGAUGAUGCACUUUUGCUCCUGCUCUCCGAGAUCAAAAUACAUGGCGGCUGCCAACACCAGGUAACACUGGAAGAGAAAGCCAAUGCCUUUCAAACUCAUUUUCAGCUAACAAUGAGCUAUUCAAUUACAAUACACUGGACAGUGAACAAAUGUUUGUCAUGUAGGUUCAGUUUUUCGUAGAUCUCCAAAUUCUAAUUCCAGAUGUAUUUGCCAUUGACUAUAGACAAACCCACAUGUCCUUCAGUAUAUAUUUGAAGUGGGAGGUAAGAGGGACAGUUUGACUGUGAGAAACUCACAGGUGCUAUUUUGUGUGACGAGACCUUCUGGUCAAUUUGUGACUGGUUAAACUGGGAGCCAAUAGUAAAGAUGUUAAGAAUAAUGAUUAACAGGACAGACCACUUCCUGCAGACUAAGAUAAUCCUCCCACAGUUAAUUCAAGUAUAUCUAAGGAAAGAGUCAACUUUAUUGUAACCAAGGUGGGCACACUGCUAAAGUCUGAUGCUUUAGAAAAAGCAUCAUGAAUCAACAUCGCAAAACCAACUUCAAAACUUAAGAGACAUUUGACGUUGACAUUGUGACAUAUUAACAAAAAAAUAAUCUGUGGAAUUAAACUGCUAAAAUACCGAAAAUAUCUUCAAACUAUUAUAUAACUGUAAAAUAUUAGGGUUCAUGGGAUUAAACAUGUUGAUGUUGCAGGAGACUGGUCUGAUACUGCUGUAAGUGUAAUUCCAACAGAGGGCCAAGUGUUUGCUCUCUCAAAAUGUAUAGAUGCUGAACUUUGCCCUAAGGGUCAACUCACUAGCUACAGAAAGAUGCAAGAAAUGUAACAUGUUCAGAAAAGUGUUCAUCUGAUGUAGAUGUCCUUCAAAAUUAAGAAUAUAU